AUGGCCCAGAACUUCUCUGAAUCUUGGUACCUAAGUCCCACAUUACAAGUCUGGAGUCUAGAAGAAGUGCUUUUUAGGACUCAAAGUGACAUAGCAACAAGACACAGAGUAAAUAAGCAACUGGGUGCCCCAAAGAAGCAUGAAACUCCAAUAGGAUGCAAGAACAACCUGGGAUCUAAGGCACAAGGUGAUGGACCAAUGAAAACAGAAGAGGAAUCAUGCAAAAUAAUGCAAAUGAGACAUGUGAACAGAAUCAGUUUUCUGCUAUCGUCAGGGUUCUUUAUGGUGCCUGUGAAGCACCCAUUUUCUUAUGGACUGUAAUCAACAAUAUCUGGAAAGUGUAAAAUGUUCAGGAGAGGAGGUUCGUUUUGAGUUUUCUUGGUUUUAAAACUACUGGGACCUUAAGUGCUGUAAGUUUUGUAGGAGAAGGACACUGGGUGUCUAAUCGUCAGGUCUUAGAAUGUCCUGACUUC
ensembl:lincRNA